AGCUGCAUUGCGGGGCAAUUACUUCCUUGGCAGUUGGAUGUAGCGCAGAGCGCAGCUUACUGCCAAAGGAGAUUUGCCCAGCAAUUCACCU
rnacentral:pre_miRNA from 1 species